GGCGUUCUUCCCAAACAAAAAAGGGCGGCGUACGUCAAGAAGGUGGAAGUAGCGCGGCGCACGGGUCCGUGGUACGUGCUGAUGCAAUAAUAUCGACGCGUGUCUGUACGGCGGCUGUAACGGAAAAGCACACAAAAAGAAUAAUCAUACACGAUCUCUACUGCUGUCUACUCUUAACACGGUCCCCCUGGUGGGAUUUUUGAUAGGAUCUCUAAUACCUCUGUAUCCGAUCGUACGUCUCAUCAAUACCCCCGAGUUUGAUCGAUGAUCUUCCUUAUUUGCUAGCAGGAGCACACGCAACAUGCGAUAAGCACUACGCGGCAAUGGCUCGAUCGAUCGAUCGGUAGUAGCCCGCGAUCACCUCUGCCAAAAAUGGCUGUUAAACACGGCACGAUCGGUGCUCGGGACAGCAAAUCCCACAUGCGUACCGUGCUUUCGUGGUGUUCGUGCAGGCUGUAAAAGAGGAGUGUUGUUUUGUUUUCUUUUUCCUCGCAACAAGCCUCUCGUACAUGUUCUGUCUUCUUAAUGGGGAGAGCAGGAGUGCUUAAGCAAGCAAUAAAGAACCUUAAAAAAAUUAUGAAAUAAA